GACGGGGGAGCCUUGGCCGUCGAUCCCGCGCCGCGAGGAUGCGAAGACAUUGAUUUUUGUUCCUUGUUUUGAAUACUAAUGCCCAGAACAGCAUGACCCAGAAUUCAAGAUCUAGAACAGAUGGUAAACAGCGUGCUAACAAAAUUCACAGAUAUUAAAUGGAAAGAAUUGCAAAUGCCACUCAGGACGGGGACAUAAUACAAAGUUUAACCAGUUUUAAGUCCAUGUUGGCUGCUGUGGACUGGACACCAUCCAAACCUUGUUUGAGCUCCUCUAAUUUAGCCAUAAGUGGUUUUAGGGACAGUGGCUGAUCUUGUAAGUACAGAAAACCUUGACAAGAUGGCACCACAUCCACUUCUGUGUCAGUUUCCCCCUACAGCACAAACAAUUUUUUCAUCUAUUUCCUGUCCCUUUUAGCAUCAUUAGGGUUCCUCUUUUACCCACAGAAGGAAGUAACAAAGUUUUCCCUUUGAGCUUCAAAACCCAUAAAUAAAAGCACGCA